rnacentral:rRNA from 1 species
AUACGUAGGGGGCAAGCGUUAUCCGGAUUUACUGGGUGUAAAGGGAGCGCAGACGGCUAUGUAAGUCUGAAGUGAAAGCCCGCGGCUCAACCGCGGGACUGCUUUGGAAACUAUGUAGCUUGAGUGUCGGAGAGGUAAGCGGAAUUCCAAGUGUAGCGGUGAAAUGCGUAGAUAUUUGGAAGAACACCGGUGGCGAAGGCGGCUUACUGGACGAUAACUGACGUUGAGGCUCGAAGGCGUGGGGAGCAAACGGGAUUUGAUACCCUGGUAGUCCACGCGGUAAACGAUGAAUACUAGGUGUCGGUGCCCAAAGGGUAUCGGUGCCGUCGCAAACGCAGUAAGUAUUCCACCUGGGGAGUACGUUCGCAAGAAUGAUACUCAAAUGAAUUGGCGGGG